UUGGUAGAAGCCAAAAAGAGGCUUAUCACUGUUAAUGAUUUCAUUGAAAUUCACUUUCCUACCAAG
rnacentral:tRNA from 1 species